AGCGAACGCUGGCGGCAGGCCUAACACAUGCAAGUCGAACGAACUCUUCGGAGUUAGUGGCGGACGGGUGAGUAACACGUGGGAACGUGCCUUUAGGUUCGGAAUAACUCAGGGAAACUUGUGCUAAUACCGAAUGUGCCCUUCGGGGGAAAGAUUUAUCGCCUUUAGAGCGGCCCGCGUCUGAUUAGCUAGUUGGUGAGGUAAAGGCACACCAAGGCGACGAUCAGUAGCUGGUCUGAGAGGAUGAUCAGCCACAUUGGGACUGAGACACGGCCCAAACUCCUACGGGAGGCAGCAGUGGGGAAUCUUGCGCAAUGGGCGAAAGCCUGACGCAGCCAUGCCGCGUGAAUGAUGAAGGUCUUAGGAUUGUAAAAUUCUUUCACCGGGGACGAUAAUGACGGUACCCGGAGAAGAAGCCCCGGCUAACUUCGUG
rnacentral:rRNA from 1 species